rnacentral:rRNA from 1 species
AGAGUUUGAUCCUGGCUCAGAUUGAACGCUGGCGGCAGGCCUAACACAUGCAAGUCGAACGGUAACAGGAAACAGCUUGCUGUUUCGCUGACGAGUGGCGGACGGGUGAGUAAUGUCUGGGAAACUGCCUGAUGGAGGGGGAUAACUACUGGAAACGGUAGCUAAUACCGCAUAACGUCGCAAGACCAAAGAGGGGGACCUUCGGGCCUCUUGCCAUCAGAUGUGCCCAGAUGGGAUUAGCUAGUAGGUGGGGUAACGGCUCACCUAGGCGACGAUCCCUAGCUGGUCUGAGAGGAUGACCAGCCACACUGGAACUGAGACACGGUCCAGACUCCUACGGGAGGCAGCAGUGGGGAAUAUUGCACAAUGGGCGCAAGCCUGAUGCAGCCAUGCCGCGUGUAUGAAGAAGGCCUUCGGGUUGUAAAGUACUUUCAGCGGGGAGGAAGGGAGUAAAGUUAAUACCUUUGCUCAUUGACGUUACCCGCAGAAGAAGCACCGGCUAACUCCGUGCCAGCAGCCGCGGUAAUACGGAGGGUGCAAGCGUUAAUCGGAAUUACUGGGCGUAAAGCGCACGCAGGCGGUUUGUUAAGUCAGAUGUGAAAUCCCCGGGCUCAACCUGGGAACUGCAUCUGAUACUGGCAAGCUUGAGUCUCGUAGAGGGGGGUAGAAUUCCAGGUGUAGCGGUGAAAUGCGUAGAGAUCUGGAGGAAUACCGGUGGCGAAGCGGCCCCCUGGACGAAGACUGACGCUCAGUGCGAAAGCGUGGGGAGCAAACAGGAUUAGAUACCUGGUAGUCCACGCGUAACGAUGUCGACUUGGAGGUUGUGCCCUUGAGGCGUGGCUUCCGGAGCUACGCGUUA